UGGGGAAUCUUGCACAAUGGGGGCAACCCUGAUGCAGCGACGCCGCGUGAGCGAUGAAGCCCUUCGGGGCGUAAAGCUCUUUCGACCGGAACGAUAAUGACGGUACCGGGAGAAGAAGCUGCGGCUAACUACGUGCCAGCAGCCGCGGUAAUACGUAGGCAGCAAGCGUUGUUCGGAGUUACUGGGCGUAAAGAGUGCGUAGGCGGUUUUCUAAGUUCGGUGUGAAAUCUCCCGGCUUAACUGGGAGGGUGCGCCGAAGACUGGGAAGCUGGAGUGUGGGAAAGGCAGGCGGAAUUCCUGGUGUAGCGGAGAAAUGCGUAGAUAUCAGGAGGAACGCCGGCGAUGUAGACGGCUUGCUAGACCAUAACUGACGCUGAGG
rnacentral:rRNA from 1 species